rnacentral:lncRNA from 1 species
CUGGCAGGUGUGAAUUGGCAUAUCUCUGCUGAAAUCACAGAACUGCUGUGUUACAUCAGUUUGAGAGUCUGGACCUAUUUCCUGAGCUAUUUUUGUCUUGCCCCUAAAAUCAAUUCCUUGAAGGCUAAGACAACUGAAGAAAGGAAAUGACUCCCUACUACUGGGAUAUCAGCUAUCACAUAGGAUCUUGUCCAGUCUAAGACAUUUAGGUUCUACUCUAUUGUAAAUUAUAAAACAUAAGUAUAUAAUGUGAAAAAUGUAGGAAAUGAAACAAAUAAAAAAAAUAUUACAUGACUUCAAAACUACAGUUCAGUGACUUUUCUUCAGUUUGGACUAUUUCAAAUAAUCUGGAGGUUCAGCAAUCAAUGCUGCUUUUGAGGUUCUUAUCAGCUGAAUGAAUUUAGUAAAGUACAAGACAAAAUUAUUGAUUGCGUUGCUUCAGAAGCUACUGGAAACCUGGUCAGAGGCUUGAAUGUCACCUGAAAAUGAAACUUGGCUUUUAUAAUCUGAUUUAGGGCUUGAAAUAUUUUAGUUUGUGUGUCUUGCAUUUAAU